UCUUAUGUACAUUCCUUCAACAUAUCAUUAAUGCAGUGGAUCCCAUUAGAAAUCUGCAAUUAAGUGCGUUCAGGCUAGAGUAGUAUGGGGAUGGGUGAUUGCCUGGGAAGUCCUAGUGUUUUAUAUGCC
rfam:Picea glauca, whole genome shotgun sequence.